rnacentral:rRNA from 1 species
GAUGAACGCUAGCGGGAGGCCUAACACAUGCAAGCCGAGCGGUAUUGUUUCUUCGGAAAUGAGAGAGCGGCGUACGGGUGCGUAACACGUGUGCAACCUGCCUUUAUCUGGGGGAUAGCCUUUCGAAAGGAAGAUUAAUACUCCAUAAUAUAUUGAACGGCAUCGUUUAAUAUUGAAAGCUCCGGCGGAUAGAGAUGGGCACGCGCAAGAUUAGCUAGUUGGUGAGGUAACGGCUCACCAAGGCGAUGAUCUUUAGGGGGCCUGAGAGGGUGAUCCCCCACACUGGUACUGAGACACGGACCAGACUCCUACGGGACGCAGCAGUGAGGAAUAUUGGUCAAUGGGUGCAAGCCUGAACCAGCCAUCCCGCGUGAAGGACGACUGCCCUAUGGGUUGUAAACUUCUUUUGUAUAGGGAUAAACCUACCCUCGUGAGGGUAGCUGACGGUACUAUACGAAUAAGCACCGGCUAACUCCGUG